GGGAAAGUGAUUUCAGUCUGGACUUGCUGUGGGAAAUGCACAGCCUGCAGCCAUGGAGAAAGUGCCUAGCUGUGGGCUAUGGGUCCCAAGGCCUUGGGCUGCCAAGGGGCAGGCCUGGCUGUGUGGUCUUUUUGCCUCCCCCUCCUUCCAGCCCCCCUUACCCUGUAAGUCCUGGUGGGAGCUGCCUCCUUACUCUUCUCCCUCCCUCCCAGGCACCAGCUGUGCCCCUGCAGUUGGUCUACCUCACAUCUGAGUGGUCUCUCAGCUAUGGCUCAGACAGAGGCCCUGGUGACAUCGAGGCCUGCCCUUUCCAGUCUCCUGGCCGCAGGGCUCCUCUUACCCACUCACGCAGCCCUCCAGCCACUUUCACUCACUGUCUUCUGGGCUCCAGCCCUGGGCCAACCCCACUGGGCCCCUGGCACUAUUGUCUGACACGCUGGGAGCUCCUGUCAGGAAAUGUCCUCCUGCUACCCCCUCUAUGGCAGUGCCCUUCUCUGUCCAGAGGCCACUCAGCCUGUCUGGGUCCUACUCCAAGGCCUCUUCCUCAGUAAGGCCUUCCUCCCAUCCCAGGUCCCCCUCAUGGAUCCUUCCCCACAGUUCCCACAGCCUAGCUGCCAUGUCCAGUCCCAGUCGGAGUGCUCCUGCCCUGCUGUGAUAUUGGGUGCAUCUGUCUCCCCCUCCAGACUAGGAAGAAGGACCUUGAGCAUGGCAGGGACCAUUAUGUGAAACCAGUGCCCAGUAUACAUGUUGGAAAGAAGGAAGUUCUGUGUCACCAGGAGCUGGGUUGUGUUUUGUGUCCUUGAACACAGCUCUGCAUUAUAACAGCAAUGAUAGGAGCAGUUGUGGAGGCCUGCUGCAUCACACUGGCUGCGCGAGCGCUCUGAGGGUCUGGGCCAUUUGCUCUUCAGCUAGUCCAUGGACAGGGACCAGGAAAGGCCCAGCCUAGGCAUGGCAGGUGGAGUUUCAGGCCCAGCUUCCACCCGGAGGAAGAAGUAGAGCCGGAAUGGGGCCAACAGCCUCACCCCCAUAGGGGGCCCUUCUGUCUGCCAUGAAGCCACUGGCAGACUGCAGGACAAGCAGCAAAGGAGAGUCUUUGUUGUCUGGUGAUGUCUCAUUCUGUGGUGGUCCAAGGCUAAGGGCACGCCAGGGAACGUGUCCUUAGAGGCGAAAAAUGGCAUGGGGACCACUGGAUUAAAUGUGCCUUUCUAAAGGAGCCACGUGCAAGCCUUGUUAGCAGUCUGCCUCCCCUCCUUGCCUUAGACAGGGAGGCCUGGAUUCUAGGGAUUUCCACGAGCCUUACUCUCCUUUAGGGACGUUAUCCCGGUUGGAAUCGUGGUGUUAAAGUCAGUCUCAAUCAGUCUCUCUCUGGUGUAAACUCUUUGAGGAUUGGAAACAGAACAAGUCUUCUGAUGAUUUUUGCUUAUUGGAGCCCCUGGAAAUAGGAAGACAACUUGGGAAAGAGAGGCCGUCUCAAGAUAGAGAUAGACUUGUAGAGCUUUAAAAAGCAGUGUUCAGAUCAUGUUAUACAAAUGAGCCAAGGAUGGAUGACCUGUGUGUAUGGGCCCCUAGGUUGUAUAUUUCUUGACAGCAAUCUGCGUCCUGUUGGCUUAAAAACCUGCCAGCCCCCAACCCAAAUUUUCACAUGCCCAGUUAUUUCACACGGUGCUCAUACUAGUGGAUUUUUGGCCCUUUAGAACCUGCCAAACCUCAACCCACAUCUGCUAAGAAUAGAUAAGAUACAGCCUUGUGGUCCUAAGACCCCAGGCCACACCCCGAGCUGCUGAACGACAUUGCUUUGACAUGUGGGCUGCCUCUCCGAUGCCUCUUUCCCAACAGCUCCCUUGCCUUCCCCCCUUAGCCCGGUCCUGCUGCUGUAACAAAAUACCACAGACUGGGUGGCUUAGAAACAACAGAAAUUUAUUUCUCACCAUUCUGGAGGCUGGAAGUCCAAGAUCAAGGCGCCAGCAUGGUAAGGUGAGGGCCCUCCUCCUGGUCCCUAGCCGCCACCUUCUCGCUGUGUCCUCACAUGGUGGAAGGGGCUGGGAAUCUCUCUGGGACCUCUUAUAUAAGGUGACUCCCAUCCAUGGGGGCUCUACCCUCAUGAUUUAAGCACCUCCCAAAGGCCCCGCCUUGUAAUGCCAUCAGCUUUGGGGGUUAGGGUUUCAACAGAUGCAUUUGAGGUGACACAAACAUUCAGACCAUAGCGCUCCCCUUCUGAUAGUGCCCUCCUGACCCAUAAACCCCAGGAUGAUCUCAUGCUGUGAGGGACUCCCCUCUAAUGCAACCCUGUUGAGGCACCAUCCUGUAAAUCUGGUGUUGUGUUGCUGCCUCUCCUGGUCAUCUCUUCUUCCUGGGUCAGCCUCCAAUCCCUCGAACCCCCUACGGUUGGCUAAUGAGCUCUUAUGAAAUCAAGUGUCUGACCCUUAGAGGCUGAUGAUUAUCCGACCUGAGGUGUGUGUUUUUCAGGCGUCAAUUGGGAGGGACUCUAAGGCUGACAAGGCAGAAAGGGCUUAGGACAGCUUGUCACUUGGACUUGGACCCCCGCUGUCUGGCCUUGCAGUGUCUCGGCUUUCCUGCUGCUGCAGAAAAGCCACUGACUCCUUUUGGACCCCAAACCCACCAACCCUAAUUGACCAACUUUAAGAUAAAAGCUAAAACUGUCCACGAUGGGCUGUUAUAGCCUCAACACGAGUUGUGCUGAAUGGAAAGCAGGCCAAGCUCGAUGAACAGGUCUUGGACUCUGGAACUGUUGCAGAUUUGGGACGCCCCUCUGUGGGCUCCAAAUCUGUUAAAGUAUCUUGAGUGCUGCCCUGCACCGUCUGGGUCUUUUGCAGAUGCCCGCGAUGAAGGGCUUGAUAUCGGAUGGGAACAAGUGAGAUGGAGCCGCUCAUGGGCACUGCAUUUCUGAGAACUGCUCCUGGAAGCUUUACCCUCUUCCUGAAGGAAAACUCACCAUGCUGCCUUUGCAAGCUGCUGCAAGUGAUGGAAUCCAAACGACUGCUGAGCCUGGGAGCACACCUGACAGCACUGACUAUGACACAC
ensembl:lncRNA